rnacentral:SRP_RNA from 1 species
CUUCUAGCCCUAUGCAAUAAGUAACAGAGACAAAGCUUCAGGAUGGGAACAUAGCAGAGCAUCUCUGUUGUUUGUGUGCCAUUGGUUACUGGAAGGGA